rnacentral:lncRNA from 1 species
CCGCCUCGUUGGGUUGUAAUUAUAUCUAUUUCUAUUUCAUUCUUUUGGGGAGUCUGCGCGGCUCUUGGUGGCAGUGAAUCAAGCCCUGUGGCUGGUGGCACAGGCAGCCGUGGCUUAGGCCUUAGGGCCUGCUGUUGGUGGCAGCGGCCCCGAGUUUUGUUGAUGGCAGCAGCCCUGGGUUGGUGGAGGCUGUCGCAGUGCGCCACUGGCUUGCCCGCUGCCGAAGCCUGUGCAAGGGCUAAAAUGCUGGUAACUCAAACUCAGUGAUGAUCUGAGUGGGCUCGGUGUGAUUCACACCGGACACGGUGGCCCCAGCACUCUUACAAGAUGGCAGGCCCAGUUGCUUGGCGUGCUGGUGCAUGGACGACCUGCGAAUUGGCGCUGGGAGGCAUCAAAGCCAUCAUGCAGAGCUGUGAUCUGGUCAAGAUAGCACGAGCGUUGUAGAAGAUAUGGACUGCUCGGUUUUGUAACACUUGGCCUUUACUGCUGUAAGAGAGGUGUGGGGCUCGCUUAGCUAGUCUCGUUACUGUGGAAAGGGACGCACACUCCCGAACUUGUAAUGCAACAACAACAAAUUGCCCCUGGGUGCAGGGUGCUCCGUGCAGCUGAUGGCGGCCUAAAGUUCCUGCUUCAAGGUGCGCGAGACCAUCACCUAUCUGGGAAUGGAGGUGGCGGCAGAUGUGCUGGUUACCUGACCUUCCCUCAAUGCCAUAGAAACGUUGCUGUAUGUGGUACAAGGUGGUGCGUACGACGCGCUUGCAUGUCCUUGCAGAAGCCGGGCUACGUCCCGGGAGAUGAGUUAGAUGCUUGCGGCCUCAGAUUGGGGACGUGGCGG